rnacentral:rRNA from 1 species
GUCUUUUUGAAAAUAAUUUAAAGUCUGACCUGCUCAAUGAUUUAUUAAAUAGCCGCAGUAAUUUGACUGUGCAAAGGUAGCAUAAUAAUUAGUUUCUUAAUUAGGAACUGGAAUGAAAGGUUUGAUAAAAAAAUAACUGUCUCUAAAUUAAUUUAUAAAAAUUUAUUUUUAAGUUAAAAAGCUUAAAUUUAAUUUAAAGACGAGAAGACCCUAUAGAGUUUUAUAUAAUAUAAUAAAUUUAUAUAAGGAUGUAUUUAUAUUUUUAUUUAAAUUAUAUUUGAUUGGGGUGAUUGAAAAAUUUAAUAAACUUUUUUUUUAUUAUUACAUAUAUUUAUGAAUAAUUGAUCCUAUAUUUAGAUUAUAAGAAUAAAUUACCUUAGGGAUAAACAGCGUAAUUUUUUUUUAGAGUUCAUAUUAAAAAAAGAGAUUGCGACCUCGAUGUUGGAUUAAAGUUAAAUUUUGGUGUAGAAGCUAAAAUAUUUAGUCUGUUCGACUAUUUAAACUUUACA